rnacentral:rRNA from 1 species
CCUACGGGAAGCUGCAGUGGGGAAUAUUGCACAAUGGGCGAAAGCCUGAUGCAGCAACGCCGCGUGAAGGAAGAAGGGUUUCGGCUCGUAAACUUCUAUCAACAGGGACGUAAGAAAUGACGGUACCUGAGUAAGAAGCCCAGGCUAACGACGUGCCAGCAGCCGCGGGAAUACGUCGGGGGCAAGCGUUAUCCGGAAUUACUGGGGUGAAAGGGUGAGUAGGCGGCAUGGUAAGCCAGAUGUGAAAGCCUUGGGCUUAACCCGAGGAUUGCAUUUGGAACUGGCAAGCUAGAGUACAGGGGAGGAAAGCGGAAUUCCUGGUGUAGCGGUGAAAUG